rnacentral:rRNA from 1 species
UGGGGAAUAUUGCGCAAUGGGGGAAACCCUGACGCAGCGACGCCGCGUGUAGGAAGAAGGCCUUCGGGUCGUAAACUACUGUCAGGAGGGAAGAAACUGUUAGGGUACAAUAUGCCCUUUCACUGACGGUACCUCCAGAGGAAGCACCGGCUAACUCCGUGCCAGCAGCCGCGGUAAUACGGAGGGUGCGAGCGUUAAUCGGAAUCACUGGGCGUAAAGCGUGCGUAGGCUGCGCUGCAAGUCAGACGUGAAAGCCCUCGGCUCAACCGAGGAAUUGCGUUUGAAACUGCAGUGCUAGAGUCUCGGAGAGGUUGGCGGAAUUCCAGGUGUAGGAGUGAAAUCCGUAGAUAUCUGGAGGAACACCGGUGGCGAAGGCGGCCAACUGGACGAGUACUGACGCUGAGGUACGAAAGCGUGGGUAGCAAACAGGAUUAGAUACCCUGGUAGUCCACGCUGUAAACGAUGGAUAUUAGGUGUCGGGGUUAACACUUCGGUGCCGCAGUUAACGCGUUAAAUAUCCCGCCUGGGGAGUACGGUCGCAAGGCUGAAACUCAAA